rnacentral:misc_RNA from 1 species
CUUUGUUUGUUUGGAAACAAUCUAUUGCGAAGUAUGACUGUUUGAAAACUGUCUGCAUAUCACUUUUUCAAAGAUUAAUUGGUUCUAUCAGACAAAUGGCAGUGGGUGGAAGCAGUGAAGAUGGGCCAUCUGCGGCAAAAGGGAGUGAGACGGAUGACAGGUAUCCUCUGUUUGUGGUCUGGGGAUGUGGACCACAAUCAAGAUGAUAAGAGCGAAGUUUCCAACAGUUGAAUACAUCACCACAAACACCUUGACAAAAUGGCUAGGAAGGGCUGAUGAGAGGAAGAUUAUCUUGAUGGACUGUCGAGCACCAGAAGAAUACAAUGUGAGUCACUUAGAGGGGGCACAUUGUGUUGACUGGAAAAAUGGCGAUCCGUGUCAGCUGUUGAGCAGUCUACCCUCUGAUAAGCCCCACACUGUGGUAUGUUAUUGUUCUGUUGGAUACAGAUCUUCAGUGAUGGCACAAAAACUCCAGCAGUAUCUAGCAACUGCAGAGUCAGCAUUUCCUGUGGGGAGUAUUAGUGUCUACAAUCUGGAGGGAUCUCUCUUCAAGUGGGCCAAUGAGGGACGACCCAUGGUGGACUCAAGGGGUCAGGCCACUAGGAUGUGUCAUCCAUUUUCAGCCACCUGGGGACUUCUUUUGGAGAAGCAGUUAAGAAACUGGGGAAGUUCAGAAAAAUAACAUUAAUGUCAUCAUUUGGGUGAAUUUGUUCUGUUCUCAUCUGCUAUUAGCUGUAUGACGGGCCUUUAUUUUUCUAUAGGACAGCACUUUUUUCCCUAAAAGGUGCCAAAUUCCAGUGACCAUUCAGAUGCAAUCUAAGGUAUGACAUUUACAAGCCACUCUAAUGCUUCUAAUGCUUCCAAAGCCUAAUGCCUUUUGGUGUGUCCUAUGUACAGUACAGCAGUUUCCUGAGCAAAAAUAAUUCAGCCUACUAAGUAAACUCUUUUUCUUGAUAUAAUUUUCAUUUUGACGUAAUGAAGUAGUUGCAAUGAAAGGUAAAUGAAAUGCAUGCAGGCAUGUUUAUGAUAGGCUGUCAGUUCUUAAUUCAUUUAAAAACUAUUAAGUGCAUUAAAUGUGUUAUGCUUUAAUGUGUGAGACAGGUAAAUGAACAUGUACAACAUGAACAUACAAGUCACUUUUAACUCUCUUAGCCCUACAUAAAAAUAUAACAUUAAAAUUACUGGUUUAUAACUAAAGACUGUGAAGACAGCAGGUGAAGUUUUUUUUUUUUUUUUAUUAUUGCUGAUCUGAGAUAAACAUUAGACCAAGAAACCUAUACAUUUUUGGAGGGGAGAAAAUUUGAACUUUGCAAUAAAAGUAAUGAAAAUUGCCUUCCGUGUGCUUCCCAGCAAAGCCACAAUCAUGGCCCAUUGUGCUGAGAGGGUUAGAGGACUUCCUCUCUAGAAUAAAGUACAAUUUAUUUCUAUCAUAUAACUGCUAUACCUUGAAAGAAUACUUAAGAAACAUAAUCACAAUACAUCAUAUAUCUGACUUUUAAUUAUGUAUACUUCAACUGAACAUUUUGACAAAAGUAAUAUACACUGAAAAAGAUAUUGUAAACUUGAAAAAAAUGUUAAAGAUCUUCACAUAACUCAGGGUCAUCAGGUCUGGCAGAUUUAAGGGCACAUAAAAAUCCUCUUUUACAGUCUCCUGUGCAAGAAUCAGUUUUGGCAGACUUGAAAUAAUACCUGAAAUGACAUAUAAAACUGAUUAAUCUUUGAAAUUUGUGCUGAAAGUGUAAUUGUUGGUAUAAAGCUUUGUAACUAACAGAUUUUUCAAACAUUCCUAUUUUUUGAUGUUCAAUGUUUUCUGCUAUUAACAGGCUUGCACUGUAAGACUAAUUUCCUUAUUAAGUUAGAAUGGGAUGAGAAAUAAAAAAAAAAGACUUUGGUACUUUCUAUAAAAUGGAAUGAGGGCAUUAAGCAGGUUUGACUGCUUUGCCUUUCAUAGUGUUAUUGCCAUGUACUUCUGACCAGAAGAAAAGAUAAAACAUACCUAAAUGUUUCUGGAUAAAAGCAAAAUAAUCAGAUUAUUAGGCAGGCUGGCAACACUAAACAGCAUUUUAUUGGUGGGUAAAUGCAGAAAGGGUAUUGCUCACUUGUAGAAUGUCUGGAAGAGGGUAUCGUUUGCCUUCAUUCUAUAGAUAAGCUCAUUCCAGUCCUCUGGGUACAGCCCCUUCAUUUGAUAGUCACUCUGCAAGGCAGAUAAUCUGAUUUCUGAAUCCUAUAAUUCAUUUGUUCACUCAUUUAUUGGUGGGCAGUAUUUGAUAAUACAUCCACAUCCAUUAUUCAGUUUUAUUUAUAACUGAGUAGUUAUUUAACAUUAUGGCUAGCUUAUAAGAUUUCUAUGAAACAGUUUAUAGCAACAUGUCAGGGAUGGAAUGUAUUAAAUUGCACAUGGGAAUAAAUGUUGUUUCAGCAUUACCAGAUAUGGUGUAAACGAAAAAAAAAAAAAAAAAAAAAAUUAAGCUGAAAUGGCUUUCAGAACAACCUGAGUUCUUUAAAGUAAUGAGAAAUGUCAUCUUGGUCCUCAUUCGUUGGAUGUGAUUCAAGGAAAAAGACCUUAAUAGACUGCAUCCAGUACUGGGCUAUGGAGGUAACUUAAAAGAAGUAAGCCAAAGAAGAGGGGAGGAGGAGUCAAAGAGGAAGAUAGGGAGAUGCUGACCCAUGAACUAUUGAUGUGGUUGCCAUCAAUGGUGUAUAUACGAAAGCCAGGGUUGGUGAAGGAGUAAGGUGUGACACUGCCACCAACAUAGGACACACCGACAGGUCGUGUUCGGUUGCUAAGGUCGUAGAACACCUGAUACUCAUCUUUGUGAGUGUGGCCAUGGAACUGCCCUGUGAUGGUGCUCUCGUAUCUAUGGUGAACAGAAAAGUUUUACUGACAUCAUCUCUCACUACAUCUUGUAGUUGUGAAUGGACCGGAGCUUUUUAACAGUAAGAGAAGCACCACUGAAUAUGGUAGCAAAUCCUCUAAACAGCAAGAGAAGCAGCAGAAUUAAUUAUCAGUUUCUUUCAUUUCAUUUUGUUCUGGUGAAGUAGUAACAAAUAUAGUAGAGACUACUGCUCUUGCUUACAGAAUGAAAUAUAAUGUGGUGAUGACUACCGUUCUGUUUUUUAUAGAUCUAAGUAUAAAGAACACUUGAUAUUAGCACUUAUAGCAGUGUAAUUAUAUAAUAAAUAUAAUCCUUAUCAAAUUGUAAAUUGUUUUUCUUAGUCACUAAUAAAGCUUUUGUGAGGGCAAAUGUCCUUGAUGCUCCUGAACC